GCUGAAAUAGCUCUGUUGGGAGAGCUUUAGACUAAACAUCUAAAUGUCCCUGGUUCGAUCCCGGGUUGUGGCA
rnacentral:tRNA from 1 species